rnacentral:rRNA from 1 species
CCUCUUCCCAUCCCGAACAGAGAAGUUAAGCCCGUUAGCGCCGAUGGUACUGCUAUACCAAGUGGGAGAGUAGGUAGCCGCCAACU